AAGUCGUAUCAAGCGCUCGAUUGUAACUGUUCCAAUGUUCGCACGUAGCGAGAGGUCUCUGAAUCACUACAACUUUCCGGGCUAUGAUUUAUCAGAGAUUGCGAACUACGCUGGCUACAAGAGCAGGAUGAAGGUUCACGGGGGGGGUUUUAACGUUUGGAUACGUGUUAAUGAUCCUUCCGCAGGUUCACCUACGGAAACGGUACUUCUAUAGGCAAUGUUUCCCCAAGCAGUCAGUGUCGGAAAGUGUCAUUGAUUGUGCAAGGAUAGCGCUUCUACAAUUCCUGUAGACCGUACACUAGGGCAGGAGCUUUGCCAAAGGGUCCCCAUGCCCCCUAAUAACCCCACAGUUUAAUGUGAAGCUCAAUGUAAUACAUUGGGUAAAAAAACCGAACAACUGUUAACAAUGGAUAUCUUGGUUCUC
rnacentral:misc_RNA from 1 species